CAGACAUCCUACAUAUCGUAUUUACAUUACGAUUCCUAACAGCGACAUUCCAGUCAUGAAGCCGCAGUGAAGUCCUCGUAUGGUUGGGAAGUCUAGUUCCCCAAGGAGAAGAACGACUUCUGUUGACUCAAAGCACGGCUCUCACCUCAAAGCAAGUGAGAGAGGUAGUUUGAAGCUAAGCUGAGUGACCGCGGUCUGGGAACAGGAUUUGGUUUGCCCAGGAAACGUGUUCUACUGUGAAAGGCCUCGGCGAGUUGUUAUAACAACAGAACAGAAGACAAUCAUAAAUCAAGGCACUUCUCGAACGCACGAUGGGAACAUGAGGCCAGAAGAGGACACCAAGAUCUCAGGAUAGAUAGUCAGGAGCCACCAUGUCUUUGCUGGGAAUUGAACUCAGAACCUCUGGAAGAGCAGCCAACACUCUUAACCUCUGAGCCAUCUCUCCAGCCUGGAACCAACCAAGCCUUCCAGUUCUGUGUUGGCUAGAAGCAGCAACCGUGGGUAUCUGCCUGGGAAGAGAGGAAAUCGAAGGAGUGUACUAGGGAGCAGUCUCCAAGGAAACAGAAGGACAGGAGUUGCAAACAAAUGCAAUCAAUUGUGUAGGUGUAAAUGCGUAUCUAUGUGUGACCUACACCAUUCAUAUUCCUCGGAGACUAUGCCCAAGACCACAAUUUGUAAGCUGGAGAUCCAGGAGAAUCUGGGGUGAGAGUUCUCUGAGCCAAAGCUUAAAGGAGAAGACUGAAGACCAGUGAAGACCCCUGGAGCAGAAUAUCCUCUCCUGUGUCUGAUUCAGCAAAACAUUCCUUCAUGUGUUUGUUCCAGAAAACACCAUCAACCGACUUGUCAAAGAACCCUCAAGUUUCCACUUCAUUCGCCACCAAGCCUGAAAGUCUGAGUUUGAUGCCCACAUGGUGCGAGGAGAGGUGACGCCUACAUGUUGUUCUUUGACCUUCAUGAACAUGCCACAGCAUGUGUGCACUUGG